UACAGAGGUGUCAAGCGUUGUUCGGAUUCAUUGGGCGUAAAGGGUGCGUAGGCGGCGAGGUAAGUCGGGCGUGAAAUCUCGGAGCUUAACUCCGAAACUGCAUUCGAUACUGCCGGGCUAGAGUCUGGAAGAGGCGAGUGGAAUUCCUGGUGUAGCGGUGGAAUGCGCAGAUAUCAGGAGGAACACCGAUAGCGAAGGCAGCUCGCUGGGACGGUACUGACGCUGAGGCGCGAAAGCGUGGGGAGCGAACAGG
rnacentral:rRNA from 1 species